AGUGAGAAUGCCGGAAUGAGUAGCGAGAAUUAUGUGAGAAUCAUAAUGGCCGAAAGUCUAAGGUUUCCUGAGGAAGGUUCGUCCUCUCAGGGUUAGCCGGGAGCUAAGGUGAGGCGGAAACGCGUAGCCGAUGCACAUACGGUAGAAAUUCCGUAGCCUCCGAAGAUUUAAGCACAGGGACACUUUUGAAGGGCUGAGCCGGGCGUUGGUUGCCCCGGUCGAAAGGGACACGAUUGAGUGGAAGUCAGUUUGGAAAGAGGCGAGAAAAGCUGUGUGUAUAUGGAAGGAGCCCGUACCGCAAACCGACACAGGUAGACAGGAAGAAGAUUCUAAGGCCAGCGGGAGAAGGGUUGUUAAGGAACUCGGCAAGUUGACCCCGUAACUUCGGGAGAAGGGGUGCUUACGAAGGUAAGCCGCAGAGAAUAGGCCCAAGCGACUGUUUAGCAAAAACACAGCUCUAUGCUAAAUCGAAAGAUGACGUAUAUGGGGUGACACCUGCCCGGUGCUGGAAGGUUAAGAGGAGAUGUGAGAGCAUUGAAUUGAAGCCCCAGUAAACGGCGGCCGUAACUAUAACGGUCCUAAGGUAGCGAAAUUCCUUGUCAGGUAAGUUCUGACCCGCACGAAUGGUGUAACGAUCUGGACACUGUCUCAACAACCCGCCCGGCGAAAUUGUAGUACCGGUGAAGAUGCCGGUUACCCGCGACUAGACGGAAAGACCCCAUGGAGCUUUACUGUAGCCUAAUAUUGGAUUUCGGUAUUUCAUGUACAGGAUAGGUGGGAGACUGGGAAAUACAGGCGUCAGCUUGUAUGGAGUCAUUGUUGGGAUACCACUCUUGAGGUGCUGGAAUUCUAACCUGUGGCCUUGAAUCAGGUCAGGGGACAUUGUUAGGCGGGCAGUUUGACUGGGGCGGUCGCCUCCUAAAAGGUAACGGAGGCGCUCAAAGGUUCGCUCAGCAUGGACGGAAACCAUGCCAGAGAGUGCAAACGCAUAAGCGAGCCUAACUGCGAGACUGACGGGUCGAGCAGUAACGAAAGUUGGAGUUAGUGAUCCGGCGGUAUAUGUGAGUGGAAAUGCCGUCGCUCAACGGAUAAAAGCUACCCUGGGGAUAACAGGCUGAUCUCCCCCAAGAGUCCACAUCGACGGGGAGGUUUGGCACCUCGAUGUCGGCUCAUCGCAUCCUGGGGCUGAAUUCGGUCCCAAGGGUUUGGCUGUUCGCCAAUUAAAGCGGUACGCGAGCUGGGUUCAGAACGUCGUGAGACAGUUCGGUCCCUAUCUGUCGUGGGCGUAGGAUAUUUGCAAGGAGCUGUCCCUAGUACGAGAGGACCGGGAUGGACGCACCUCUGGUGCACCAGUUGUCACGCCAGUGGCACAGCUGGGCAGCUAUGUGCGGAACGGAUAAACGCUGAAAGCAUCUAAGCGUGAAGCCGCCCUUAAGAUAAGAUCUCCUUUAAGACCCCUUGUAGACUACGAGGUUGAUAGGUCUGAUGUGUAAGCAUGGUGACAUGUUUAGCUUGCAGAUACUAAUCGGUCGUUCGCUUUUCCU
rnacentral:rRNA from 1 species